AUCCAGACUAAUACCUAGAAAUGGAUGGAGUAAGCAAGAAGAAAUAGAAAUAGAGAAAAGAGAGAAACAGAAUAGAGAGAGAGACAGGAGAAGAGAGAUAGAGAGAGAAGUUUAAUUCAUUUCUUAAUUAGCCAAAUACAACUCACCUUAGCUUAAUAAACAAAAUUACAAAACAGAAAUAUUCCCUUUCUAACAAACUUAGGCAGAAAAACAACAAAAGCUAAAAUUACUUAACAACUUAAGUUUGUAACAAACUUUCCCGCCAAAACUGUAGCUCUAUAUUUUUCAUACUGUAAGUCUGUAACAUUUUAUAACUAUUCUUUUGUUCUGUAUUUAGGUGAUUUACUACCGCCCUUAUAAUGUAGUAAAACCCGAGAAAAAAAAAUAAAAAAUAAAAACGUAAUCUCAAGCUCAACAGACAAAAGCGACAUAUAACUGAGUCCGGUCUGUUCGUCUCUCCCUUCCGCUCAAAAGCCCCAAUGUCUUGACUCUUAUUUUGGUGGAUUUAAACUUCUAUACUAGAUCUAGGGUUAUAAUUUAGUAUGAUGAUAGCGAUCUAUGGUUUGGUGGAAUAUCAUCGUAUUUCAGCUUAAUAUUUAUUCAUUAACUGAUUGAUAUUCCCUGUAGUUGUUUAAUUCAAAUUCAAAAAGAUGGAUGCUUCCACCUCCAAAGCACCCUCCAGGUGUAAGAAUUUAGACAUAGACUUGGGUAAUAUAAGUAGGCGCAACCAUUUGAAGAGGAAUGAUGAUAAUAUAUAUUGUUAGAAGAAGAUAGGAUCAGCAGUUUACCUGAUUCUGUAUUAGGUGACAUACUUUCAUUAGUUCCUUCCAAGGAUGCCGUUGCUAUGUGUGUAUUGUUGAGGCGAUCGAGGCGUGUUUUCACCUGGGUAAGAUGCCUUGAUUUUGACGACUCACCUAUAUCUCAUUGUGUAGACUCUCCAUGUAUGAUAAACGCUUUCCCGGAUUUCAAGAAUUUUGUUGAUAAGCUAUUGCAACUCUGCCAAGCCCACAAAAUUACCACAUAUAAACUUCACUUUGGCAAGCCUGAUCGCAGGCCUUAUAAGUUGCAUAAAUGUAGGGAAUGUUGUUUUCCUGAAUUGGAAUCUAAGCAUCUCAAUGCCUGGAUGUGUUUUCCGUUAAGCCGUCAGGUCAAGGGACUUGACAUUUGUGCUCAUGUGAGGAAACCCGGUCAGUUGCUUUUGGAAAUUUUUGCUUGUCAAACACUAGAGGUGUUGAAGCUUGAUGUGAAUCUUCAUCUUCAAGUUCCCUUGUCUUUGUGUUUGCCAAACUUGAAAGAGUUCCAUCUCACUUUACCUAUCAUCCCUGAUGGUGACUUUGUUACCAGGAUUGUCUCAAGUUGUCCAUCCCUUCAACACCUGGAUUUGCAUGGUUACUGGGAUCCUGUGGAUCCCAUCUCUUCAUAGAUUGAAUAUAUAUGCUUCUAACUGGAAUUCUACAUGCCAAAGGACCAAGGUUGUGCUUGAUGUUCCUAAUUUGGAGUAUUUAGCUUAUAGUGAUGUUUCAGCAUUGCAUUACUCCAUUGGACAUAUGAAUGCUGUAGUUGAAGCUAAAGUUGAUAUUAAAGAUUGUCUUUUGGAGACUAUAGUUAGCCUUGCCUGGUUGUUGCCUAACGCACGGCAUUUAUCAAUAGGGCGAGAAUGUGUUGAGCCUCUGCAUUUCUGUGAAUCAAAGCUCAAGCUGCCUAUCUUUCAAAAUCUGAAACAUUUGGAGCUUGGUUGUUUUGGCUUUGUGAUUGGAAUAAAGUGUUGAUGGAGCUGCUUAACUGCGCUCCUCUUUUAGAAACACUUACUUUUCCAGAGGUUAGUGAGAUUUCUUCUAUUCCAAAUACUCAAAUGACUCUAGCACUAUGAUCAUGGCUUGUGUGAUUUCUAACUAUUCUUGUGAUUGUUGUCAAUUACGACUUAUCAUUCUCAUCUUUCAGGGAAUUACAUAUAGUGAUUCUUGGUAUGAUUAUAUUUACGUGGAGGUGUCUGAGCGGGAGUGUAAUUCUUGGAGUUGUACUCAAACAGUGCCAUCUUGUUUAGUGAGUCAUCUCAAAAAAAUCACAGUAGUGUGCUAUUGGCGUAUGGAUUGGGAACGGGAAAUAUUUAAAUAUUUUCUUAGAAGCUCAUUAGUUUUGGAGGAAUUGGACAUCUAUAUUAAUUCUGUAGUGCCAGAGAGAGUAUGGAUCGCUGAAGACAGGAUGUUACAGAAGCUACCAAGAGCCUCAAAGACCUGUUCAAUGAGAGUCCAUAAUGUGAAACUUCGGGGCUGAUAAUUGGUACUCUGUAGUGGGUUUGAAUAAACAAUUUGUCAGUGCUCAUAAGUUAUAUAGACUGAUUGAUAAUUUGUGCACUCUAUAGUCAUUUCAAUAAUUAAUUUAGAUUUGUUCUCAGUGGGAUAUGUACCAAGUGAUCUAAACUGCUUUUAAUUUGUGUUCUGUACUAAUUUAUAUAGUCAAUGAUGGAUAAUUUGUGGUUUAAAUUACAAGUUAAGCCGUGUGCUAGGUUCUCAUUGUGUUUUGAGAUUUUGUACUAAUAUGAGUACAAAUCCUAAAAUAUGAGUAGCAAAGUUACUGUAGAAACCAAGGUAUUGUUGCUUAUGAAUAGUAAAAUUCCAGUUUUGCCCUUGGUGCGUGAAAUUACAGCUCUGUCCUUCCUCUAGAUACAUUUCCCAUUUUUCUCUCUUCCACUCAUUCAGCUCCUUCUCUCUACACAUCAUGUAUUGUUUCUUUCUCUAUCUUCUGUCCACUUCCGAGUAAGUAUAGGCCCAUACCUGGUAUAGUCCAUACAAAGUACUUUUUUUAUUUUAUAUUUUUAUUCUAUAAUUUUAUUAUUUCAGCGAUAUUUUUGAUGAAGAAAGAGGGAUAGAGAAAAGGGCUUUUUUUUUAUUAUACUGUUAUUAUUGAUUUUUAUAUUGUUUUCGUCUCUUGUAGCGGCCCAUCACACCUCGUCCACUUCCUUCACCAUUAAAGAGGACAUGCGUUUGUGUUAUUAAGCACCGCCACAAAUCCGAUCAAGAAAAUUGAUGCUAUUAAAUCGAGAAUUGAAUGUAAAGAGAGAGUUAUUUGCUUGGGAAGAACAGCUUAAUGAGAGAAGAGAUUAACAAGGGAAGAUUGGGAAGCUUGAAUGGGGACUGAAGUGAUAAGCAAAGUGAUAUUUUCUGCUCUUAACAAUAAGUUAAAGAGCAAAAUCAAGUCAGCUCUUAAACUUUCCUAGGAAGUUUGUUGAUUGGAUUGCACGAGCUGAGACAGUGUAGAUAGAUCCGGGUACUCCCCCCAGUGGAAAGACUGCGAGGCCUUCAGUUCUUUGUUUAUCUAUGUUUAAUCCAAUACUCAUUAUUUUGAUUAUUUUAUUUUGGGAUUUGGGUUCUUUUUUCUUUUUCUUUCUUAUCGUUUUUUUUUCCCUAUAAUUAAAAUAUUAAUUCGAGUAGUACUUAUCCAGUUAUCCUGCAAUUUUUGAUAGCUUAGGUAAUUUUGAGAUGCACUUUAAUUUGAUAGCUCAAUAGUGUUACAGAGUAAUUGGUUUAGACUAGAAUGCUAGAAGCAAGCAAUAUAAAUUUAAAUGAUUUUAGUUACUGAAUUGUGUGAAAUUCAUCUUCGAUCUUGUAGGGACUUGGGUUUGAGUUAAUUAUUUGCUUACGAUCAAUAUCAGUUUACUCAUUAUAAGGAAUAUACAAGUAUCAACAUUUGGUUUGCUGGGUUAGUUUAUGAUGCUUGAAUAUUGAUGUAUUGGAUCUAUUUAUUUUGGUUACACUGGAUUUCACAAUUAGUUUGUUUCAUCUUUGGAAAUUGUAUUUUGCGUGAAUUAAUUAUCAAGCUGUGACAAAAUUGUAUCAGUAAUGAACAAUAUAGUUAAAUAUUCUAAUAAAAUAAGUGUUUUCUAAUGGGAUGAUAUGAUUGAUGAUUUUAAUAAUGAUAUAGGGAAGUUUUGAUACACUUCUACCAAUAUUUUUUUAAGAAAUAAUUUGUUAUUGUCCAGUAUAAAUUUUGAUUAAUUGUAAAUUAUAACUACAAAUUUUUGUAUUAUUAAUAUAUUGGUUAUGUUUCAGGGUCAAUGGGGGCCAUGUGGCAUAGGAGCAUUAGAAGGUGCUAAUUGUCUUGCUAUUGAGAGACUCCUUAUUUUGAGUGAGCAACAUUUGUUUUAAAAAGCUCGAUUUCUGGUUGCUAUUGGGUUUCCCAACUGGAGAUUGAUGCUGAUGAAAGAGACAGGGGUUUUAUUCUGCUGAGCGUGGCUCUGAAACUGAUGGUUGUUGCUAUGCUUGUCAAGAGACAUGUUGAUGGAUUUCUACCUAUUGAUGUCUACAACAUUGAGGUCGAAGUUAAAAGAGGGCAGAAGGCCAGGUUGGAUUGCUACCUAUUGAUAACUACAACAUUGAGCUUGAGGAUCAAAGAGUGCAGAAGGUUAUUAUGGGUUUUUACAGAUAAAAGGUAUGUGUUUGCUUAUUGCAUUGCAAGCUACUGUAUGCACCAUUUGGAAGUCUCUCUUUAGUUUCAAUUGUCGAAAAGCAACUGCAUGUGCAAAAUUACCUUAUAUUUUGUAUAUGAUAUUAUGACUGGGCAAUAAUGAUGGGUCUUGUGCUGCAUAUAUACAAAAGUAAAGCAGCUAAUGAGAAUACAACAAUACAAAGUGGUAUUAGAGGUGCUUGAAUUGGGAGAGGUUAGUGGCAGCAUGUCAAUGCAGGGAGUUUAUUGUGAGUAAGAAAUUAUUUUGUCAGACAAAUUUGAUUUCUUGUAUAACUCUUUUGUGAAUUGAAGUUCUUAACACGAGAACCAUUGUGUUUAUUCAGAAGGUUUUUUCUCUCUGUGGCUCGAAACUAAUAGAGGCCAGGAUGAACUCUUUUGGGUGCAUGUCAGAGUGAUUGCUGAGGAUGCAGGUGCUGAUGUUGAACCUGAAGGUAAUCGACAUGUUAUUGCUCGGCUACUUGUCCCUUCUGAUCAGAUUGGAUGUAUUAUUGGUAAAGGUGGUCAGAUAAUUUAACCAUUCGUAGC